CGGAUGGAGAGGGAUUCGAACCCCCGGUAUUCCUAUCAAUACUUCGGUUUUCAAGACCGACUCUUUCAACCGCUCAGACAUCCAUCC
rnacentral:tRNA from 3 species